CCUACGGGGGGCAGCAGUAAGGAAUAUUGGUCAAUGGAGGAAACUCUGAACCAGCCAUCCCGCGUGAAGGAUGAAGGGGCUCUGCCUUGUAAACUUCUUUUGUCUGGGGCGAAAAAGCUCGAUUUAUCGAGAACUGACGGUACCAGAAGAAUACGCACCGGCUAACUCCGUGCCAGCAGCCGCGGUAAUACGGAGGGUGCCAGCGUUAUCAGGAUUCACUGGGGCGUAGGCGGCUUUGGAAGGCAGUGUAUAAAGGCUGUGGCUUAACCAUGGAAUUGCCAUUGAUACUGCAGAGCUUGAAUGAGGUUGAGGUUGGCGGAAUGUGACAUGUAGCGGUGAAAUGCUUAGAUAUGUCAUGGAACACCGAUUGCGAAGGCAGCUGACUGGACCUAUAUUGACGCUGAGGCACGAAAGCGUGGGGAGCGAACAGGAUUAGAUACCCCUGUAGUC
rnacentral:rRNA from 1 species